CCUACGGGAGGCUGCAGUGAGGAAUAUUGGUCAAUGGACGAGAGUCUGAACCAGCCAAGUAGCGUGAAGGAUGACUGCCCUAUGGGUUGUAAACUUCUUUUAUAUGGGAAUAAAAUGUUCCACGUGUGGGGUUUUGUAUGUACCAUAUGAAUAAGGAUCGGCUAACUCCGUGCCAGCAGCCGCGGUAAUACGGAGGAUCCGAGCGUUAUCCGGAUUUAUUGGGUUUAAAGGGAGCGUAGGCGGUUUCUUAAGUCAGUGGGAAAAUUGUGCGGCUCAACCGUACAAUGCAGUUGAAACUGGGAGUCUUGAGGACGGGCAGGGUGGAUGGAAUUCGUGGUGUAGCGGUGAAAUGCUUAGAUAUCACGAAGAACUCCGAUUGCGAAGGCAUUGCACCGGAGUACGACUGACGCUGAGGCUCGAAAGUGUGGGUAUCAAACAGGAUUAGAUACCCUUGUAGUC
rnacentral:rRNA from 1 species